CCUACGGGAGGCAGCAGUGAGGAAUAUUGGUCAAUGGGCGGAAGCCUGAACCAGCCAAGUCGCGUGAGGGAUUAAGGCCCUGCGGGUCGUAAACCUCUUUUGCCGGGGAGCAGUGGUCCGGACGCGUCCGGACCGGGAGAGUACCCGGCGAACAAGCAUCGGCUAACUCCGUGCCAGCAGCCGCGUUAAUACGCAGGAGGCGAGCGUUAUCCGGAGUUAUUGGGUUUAAAGGGUGCGUAGGCGGGCAUUUAAGCCGGCGGUCAAAUAGCGGGGCUCACCCCCGGCCUGCCGUCGGAACUGGGUGCGUUGAGUGGGAGAGAAGUAUGGGGAAUGCGUGGUGUAGCGGUGAAA
rnacentral:rRNA from 1 species